rnacentral:rRNA from 1 species
AUACGGAGGGUGCAAGCAUUAAUCGGAUUUAUUGGGCGUAAAGGGCGCGUAGGCGGGAAUGUAAGUCAGACGUGAAAUCCCGGGGCUCAACCGCGGAACAGCAUUUGAAACUGCGUUUCUAGAGGAUAGGCGGGGAAAACGGAAUUCCACAAGUAGCGGUGAAAUGCGUAGAUAUGUGGAGGAACACCGGUGGCGAAGGCGGUUUUCUAGCCUAUUCCUGACGCUAAGGCGCGAAAGCUAGGGGAGCAAACAGGAUUAGAAACCCCAGUAGUCC